rnacentral:rRNA from 1 species
GAUCCUGGCUCAGAUUGAACGCUGGCGGCAGGCCUAACACAUGCAAGUCGAACGGUAACAGGAAGAAGCUUGCUUUCUUUGCUGACGAGUGGCGGACGGGUGAGUAAUGUCUGGGAAACUGCCUGAUGGAGGGGGAUAACUACUGGAAACGGUAGCUAAUACCGCAUAACGUCGCAAGACCAAAGAGGGGGACCUUCGGCCUCUGCCAUCGGAUGUGCCCAGAUGGGAUUAGCUAGUAGGUGGGGUAACGG